rnacentral:rRNA from 1 species
GAUGAACGCUGGCGGCGUGCCUAAUACAUGCAAGUCGAGCGAACGGACGAGAAGCUUGCUUCUCUGAUGUUAGCGGCGGACGGGUGAGUAACACGUGGAUAACCUACCUAUAAGACUGGGAUAACUUCGGGAAACCGUAGCUAAUACCGGAUAAUAUUUUGAACCGCAUGGUUCAAAAGUGAAAGACGGUCUUGCUGUCACUUAUAGAUUGAUCCGCGCUGCAUUAGCUAGUUGGUAAGGUAACGGCUUACCAAGGCAACGAUGCAUAGCCGACCUGAGAGGGUGAUCGGCCACACUGGAACUGAGACACGGUCCAGACUCCUACGGGAGGCAGCAGUAGGGAAUCUUCCGCAAUGGGCGAAAGCAUGACGGAGCAACGCCGCGUGAGUGAUGAAGGUGUUCGGAUCGGAAAACUCUGUUAUUAGGGAAGAACAUAUGUGUAAGUAACUGUGCACAUCUUGACGGUACCGAAUCAGAAAGCCACGGCUAACUACGUG